UACGAAGGGGGCUAGCGUUGCUCGGAAUGACUGGGCGUAAGGGCGCGUAGGCGGUUUGUACAGUCAGAUGUGAAAUUCCUGGGCUCAACCUGGGGGCUGCAUUUGAUACGUAUGGACUGGAGUGAGGAAGAGGGUCGUGGAAUUCCCAGUGAGAGGUGAAAUUCGUAGAUAUUAGGGAAGAACACCGGUGGCGAAGGCGGCGACCUGGUCCUUU
rnacentral:rRNA from 1 species